AGCUCCAAUAGCGUAUAUUAAAGUUGUUGCGGUUAAAAGCUCGCAGUUGGAUUUCUGCUGGGGAAGACCGGUCCGCCCCACGGGUGAGUAUCUGGCUCGGCCUCGGCAUCUUCUUGGAGAACGUAUCUGCACUUGACUGUGUGGUGCGGUAUCCAGGACCUUUACUUUGAGGAAAUUAGAGUGUUUCAAGCAGGCGCCCGCCUUGUAUACGUUAGCAUGGAAUAAUAAGAUAGGACCUCGGUUCUAUUUUGUUGGUUUCUAGAACUGAGGUAAUGAUUAAUAAGGAUAGUUGGGCGCAUUCGUAUUUAACUGUCAGAGGUGAAAUUCUUGGAUUUGUUAAAGACGAACUACUGCGAAGGCAUUUGCCAAGGAUGUUUUCA
rnacentral:rRNA from 1 species